rnacentral:rRNA from 1 species
GACGAACGCUGGCGGCGUGCCUAAUACAUGCAAGUGGGACGCAAGGGAACACACUGUGCUUGCACACCGUGUUUUCUUGAGUCGCGAACGGGUGAGUAACGCGUAGGUAACCUGCCUAUUAGCGGGGGAUAACUAUUGGAAACGAUAGCUAAUACCGCAUAAUAUUAAUUAUUGCAUGAUAAUUGAUUGAAAGAUGCAAGCGCAUCACUAGUAGAUGGACCUGCGUUGUAUUAGCUAGUUGGUAAGGUAAGAGCUUACCAAGGCGACGAUACAUAGCCGACCUGAGAGGGUGAUCGGCCACACUGGGACUGAGACACGGCCCAGACUCCUACGGGAGGCAGCAGUAGGGAAUCUUCGGCAAUGGACGAAAGUCUGACCGAGCAACGCCGCGUGAGUGAAGAAGGUUUUCGGAUCGUAAAGCUCUGUUGUAAGUCAAGAACGUGUGUGAGAGUGGAAAGUUCACAC